rnacentral:rRNA from 1 species
AGUGGCGGACGGGUGAGUAACACGUAAGAAUUUGCCUUUAGGAGGGGGAUAACAACUGGAAACGGUUGCUAAUACCCCAUAUGCUUUCGAGUGAAAUGGAUUUCCGCCUAAAGAGAAGCUUGCGGCUGAUUAGCUUGUUGGUAAGGUAAUGGCUUACCAAGGCGACGAUCAGUAUCUGGUUUGAGAGGACGAUCAGACACACUGGAACUGAGACACGGUCCAGACUCCUACGGGAGGCAGCAGUGGGGAAUUUUCCGCAAUGGGCGAAAGCCUGACGGAGCAAUCUCGCGUGAGGGAUGACUGCCUAUGGGUUGUAAACCUCUUUUUUCAGGGAGGAAUCAAUGACGUGUACCUGAAGAAUAAGCAUCGGCUAACUCCGUGCCAGCAGCCGCGGUAAGACGGAGGAUGCAAGUGUUAUCCGGAAUCACUGGGCGUAAAGCGUCUGUAGGUGGUUUACUAAGUCAACUGUUAAAUCUUGAAGCUCAACUUCAAAAUCGCAGUCGAAACUAGUAGACUAGAGUAUAGUAGGGGUAAAGGGAAUUUCCAGUGGAGCGGUGAAAUGCGUAGAGAUUGGAAAGAACACCGAUGGCGAAGGCACUUUACUGGGCUAUUACUGACACUCAGAGACGAAAGCUAGGGUAGCAAAUGGGAUUAGAUACCCCAGUAGUCCUAGCCGUAAACAAUGGAUACUAGAUGUUGA